rnacentral:tRNA from 1 species
AUUUUAUUAGUAUAAGAGAGUAUAAUUAUUUUCCAAAUAAUUGGUUUAAUAUGUUUAAAUAAGAUA